rnacentral:rRNA from 1 species
AGAGUUUGAUCCUGGCUCAGGACGAACGCUGGCGGCGUGCCUAAUACAUGCAAGUCGAGCGAGCUUGCCUAGAUGAUUUUAGUGCUUGCACUAAAUGAAACUAGAUACAAGCGAGCGGCGGACGGGUGAGUAACACGUGGGUAACCUGCCCAAGAGACUGGGAUAACACCUGGAAACAGAUGCUAAUACCGGAUAACAACACUAGACGCAUGUCUAGAGUUUGAAAGAUGGUUCUGCUAUCACUCUUGGAUGGACCUGCGGUGCAUUAGCUAGUUGGUAAGGUAACGGCUUACCAAGGCAAUGAUGCAUAGCCGAGUUGAGAGACUGAUCGGCCACAUUGGGACUGAGACACGGCCCAAACUCCUACGGGAGGCAGCAGUAGGGAAUCUUCCACAAUGGACGAAAGUCUGAUGGAGCAACGCCGCGUGAGUGAAGAAGGGUUUCGGCUCGUAAAGCUCUGUUGGUAGUGAAGAAAGAUAGAGGUAGUAACUGGCCUUUAUUUGACGGUAAUUACUUAGAAAGUCACGGCUAACUACGUGCCAGCAGCCGCGGUAAUACGUAGGUGGCAAGCGUUGUCCGGAUUUAUUGGGCGUAAAGCGAGUGCAGGCGGUUCAAUAAGUCUGAUGUGAAAGCCUUCGGCUCAACCGGAGAAUUGCAUCAGAAACUGUUGAACUUGAGUGCAGAAGAGGAGAGUGGAACUCCAUGCGUAGCGGUGGAAUGCGUAGAUAUAUGGAAGAACACCAGUGGCGAAGGCGGCUCUCUGGUCUGCAACUGACGCUGAGGCUCGAAAGCAUGGGUAGCGAACAGGAUUAGAUACCCUGGUAGUCCAUGCCGUAAACGAUGA